rnacentral:lncRNA from 1 species
UAUGAGCGGUAGGGGCAAUCACUGUCUCUGUCAUCUCUCUCUCUUUCUCUCUCUUCUCUCUCUCCUAUUUUUUUUCUCUCUCCCCUUUCAUAGACGGCGGAGCCCCAUUGCCGUAUGUGUUUCAUUUUUUCUUAUUCUCUUUUUCUCUUUUCCUCUUGUGGUCUCGCUUGACCACAAUCUCUCUCUUCUAUCCUUCCUGUGGUCCCUCACGACUACAACCUUCCCCUCUCCCUCCUCGUGGUCCAGCAUGACCACCAAUUUUCUCUUUUCUUUCCUUUUUAUUUCAUGCAUGUCUACUUCCUCCCUGUGAACCCCUCGGGUUCACCUCCUCUUUCUUCUUUUAAUGGUCCCUCAUAUUCAUCCAUUUCCUCUUCUUUUUCUGUACUCUUUAGCAUCACCAUUUCUUUAGUGCACCCUCGUGGUGACUUCCUCCCUUUCACGUCCUGUGGUCACGCGAGACCACAUUUUCUCAACAUCUUACCUAUCUUCGUCUCGUGUACCCAUAUUACCUAUCACCGUUUCAUGCACGCAUCCUACCUAUCGCCGUGUGGACCCAUCUUGCGUAACGAUGUGUGAACCUAUCUCCCCCAUCGCCAUGUGUACCCUUCUUUCCUAACGUCAUGUGUACCUAUCUCCCCCAUCGCCGUGCGUAACCCAUCUUCCCCAACACCGUACACAACCUAUUCUUCCCAUUUUCCGUGCAGCGUUUUUCUCACUGUAAACUUAGCAGUGAACUUUUCAUUUCCGCCACCUCUCUGCAAUCUCUGCCUCUCUCAAAUCGCAGCCCCUGUCCUCACCAGCCCUCAGCCGUCCCCUUCACUCCAUCUGAAAUCAGGCAGCGGCCUGGCUGCCGCGUUCUUCACCCCAAUUCUUCUCUCAUCAACUGCAGCCAUCUCCACCAUUCUCUUCCAACCAUUCCCACCAUCGAAGCCGGUUUCCUCAGCUUUGCCGCCCUCUUUCUUCUCCAUCUCCUCCACCUUGUUGCUCCAACCUCUGCAACCUUUGUUACUCCAACUACCUGCUGUUCACGGCCUCUUCCCUCCAAUUCUCAGUCACCUUCGGCCAGCUUCAGCUACUGCCCCCUUUUCCUCUCUGCUGCAACCAACCCAACCCCGUCCCACCUGAACCGGGCGGCAGCACAGCUGUCAUCUUCGCCUCCACUUUCCUGUACUCCUUCGAUCUCGCCUACCUCCCUUCCCUCGCUGAUUCUCUGCACCCACCUCCGCCACCUGCAAUGUCCCACUUUCUCUUUCUAAAACCCAUCUCACCGCAUCUUCUUCUUUUCCCUUUCUCUACUCUUCGUUGCGUUUCGUUUUAUUCCCUUUUGUCAUAUUUUUUGUCCCUCAUCCAAUCCCCUCAUCGAGCGCUCACCACCCAAUCUCUCAAAACCCAAUAUCCAACUCCUCGUGUCUCCUUCUCUCUCUAAACCCACUAACCCAAUACCCAAAUCCCUCUCUCUUAACUAAUCUACGUAAAACCAAACAAAAACUAUUUCGUUCAAGCACUCCUUAUUUUAUUCAUAUAAAACC